AGCACCCGGCGUGCCUCUAUGGUUCUUCCUGUCCUUAGUCGGGAGGGGGCGCUGUGCGCAGGCGCGAGGUGACGCCGCGGCAGGGCCGGAAGGAGUGCAGCGGCUGCCUCAGCGGCGGCGACGGAGCUCACAGCUGCCGCUUCUGAGGAGUAAGCUGCACGGCAGCGAAGGCCGCUGAGCCCGCCUGGCUAGCCGGGGAGUUGAGUGGCGAGCCUUUUGAAACAGAUGGGCACCAUGUUUAGAUACUAGCAGUUGCAUAUGUGCAUGUCUGCAUUUGAAAAUGGCAGAGGGAAACAACAAUGAAGAGGUAAUUCACUUGAACAACUUUCAUUGCCAUCGGGGACAAGAGUGGAUCAAUCUCAGAGAUGGGCCUAUCACCAUAUCUGACUCCUCAGAUGAGGAAGGGAUUCCAAUGCUGGUCACCCCAGCUCCUCAGCAACAUGAAGAAGAGGACCUGGAUGAUGAUGUCAUCCUGACAGAAACAAAUAAACCUCAGACAUCACGACCCAAUCUCAUCAAACCAGCUGCCCACUGGCAAGAUCUGAAAAGGUUGGGAGAAGAAAGGCCUAAAAAGUCUAGAGCAGCAUUUGAAUCAGAUAAAAGCCGCUAUUUUUCAGUGUAUAACAACCCGUUGUUUGAUUCUGGGGCACAGGAUGAUUCUGAGGAUGACUACGGUGAAUUUCUGGAUCUUGGGCCUCCUGGAGUCUCUGAAUUCACUAAGCCAAGUGUCCAAACAGAUAGAGAACCCAAGCCUGGACCGAGUCGUAACCAAGCAGCAAAUGACAUUGUCAGCCCCAGAUCAGAGCAGAAAGUCGUCAUCUUGGAAGAAGGUAGCCUUCUUUACACAGAAAGCGAUACUUUGGAAACUCAGAACCAGUCAUCCGAAGACUCAGAAACAGAGCUGUUAUCAAAUCUGGGAGAGUCAUCUGCUCUAGCAGAUGAUCAGGCCAUCGAAGAAGACUGCUGGCUAGAUCAUCCUUACUUCCAGUCUCUGAACCAACAGCCCCGUGAGAUAACAAACCAGGUUGUUCCUCAGGAACGGCAGCCUGAAGCAGAGCUGGCCCGCUUGUUGAUUCAGCAUGAAUUCCCCGGGCCAGCUUUUCCAAGGCCAGAACCCCAGCAAGGUGGGGUUUCAGGCCCCUCUUCUCCUCAGUCUGCCCAUCCUCUAGGAGAGUUUGAAGACCAACAGUUAGCAAUUGAUGAUGAAGAGCCAGGUCCAGCCUUUCCAAUGCAAGAAUCUCAAGAGCCCAAUUUGGAAAACAUUUGGGGGCAAGAGGCUACAGAGGUAGAUCAAGAACUUGUUGCACUAUUAGUGAAGGAAACGGAAGCAAGAUUUCCAGAUGUAGCAAAUGGAUUUAUUGAGGAAAUAAUUCAUUUGAAGAAUUAUUAUGAUCUGAAUGUACUUUGUAAUUUUCUUCUGGAAAAUCCAGAUUAUCCAAAGAGAGAAGAUAGAAUCAUUAUAAAUCCCAGUAGCAGUCUGCUGGCCAGCCAAGAUGAGACAAAGUUGCCUAAAAUAGACUUUUUUGACUAUUCUAAGUUGACUCCUCUAGACCAGCGCUGCUUCAUCCAAGCCGCCGACCUCCUUAUGGCUGACUUCAAAAUGCUCAGUAGUCAGGACAUUAAGUGGGCCCUGCAUGAGCUUAAAGGACACUAUGCCAUCACCCGAAAGGCCUUUUCCGAUGCCAUUAAAAAAUGGCAGGAGCUAUCACCAGAAACCAGUGGAAAAAGGAAGAAGAGAAAAGAAAUGAAUCAGUAUUCUUACAUUGAUUUCAAGUUUGAACAAGGUGACAUAAAAAUAGAAAAGAGGAUGUUCUUUCUGGAAAAUAAGCGGCGACAUUGUAGGUCCUAUGACCGGCGUGCUCUCCUCCCAGCUGUGCAGCAAGAGCAGGAGUUCUAUGAGCAGAAAAUCAAAGAGAUGGCAGAGCAUGAAGACUUUUUGCUUGCCCUGCAGAUGAAUGAAGAACAGUAUCAAAAGGACGGCCAGCUAAUUGAGUGCCGCUGCUGCUAUGGGGAAUUUCCAUUUGAGGAGCUGACGCAGUGUGCAGAUGCUCACUUGUUCUGCAAAGAAUGUCUCAUCAGAUAUGCCCAAGAGGCAGUCUUUGGAUCUGGAAAGUCGGAGCUCAGCUGCAUGGAAGGCAGCUGCACAUGUUCGUUCCCAACUAGUGAGCUGGAGAAGGUGCUCCCCCAGACCAUCCUGUAUAAGUAUUAUGAGCGAAAAGCUGAGGAGGAGGUUGCAGCAGCCUACGCUGACGAGCUCGUCAGGUGCCCCUCCUGUAGCUUUCCUGCUCUGUUGGACAGUGAUGUGAAGAGGUUCAGCUGUCCUAAUCCUCGCUGCCGAAAGGCGUCUGCAGCGCUGGUGACUUGCCACAUGGCCAGGAGUGUGAGAGCAGAGGGGCUGAGACCGGGACUGCUCUCAGGAAACCUGUAGGAAGUGUCAGGGACUCUGGAAAGAACAUAAUGGCCUCACCUGUGAAGAGCUGGCUGAAAAAGAUGACAUCAAGUACCGUACCUCUAUUGAAGAAAAAAUGACUGCUGCCCGCAUUAGAAAAUGCCACAAGUGUGGGACUGGCCUCAUCAAAUCUGAAGGCUGCAACCGCAUGUCUUGCCGCUGUGGUGCCCAGAUGUGCUACCUCUGUCGAGUUUCUAUCAAUGGAUAUGACCAUUUCUGCCAGCAUCCCCGCUCCCCAGGAGCCCCUUGCCAGGAGUGUUCACGAUGCUCUCUCUGGACUGACCCCACUGAAGAUGAUGAGAAGCUUAUUGAGGAAAUUCAGAAGGAAGCUGAAGAGGAACAGAAAAGAAAGAAUGGAGAGAACACCUUCAAACGCAUCGGACCCCCACUGGAGAAGCCCAUGGAGAAGGUACAGAGGGUGGAGGCCCUCCCAAGGCCUGUCCCACAGAACCUGCCGCAGCCACAGAUGCCACCCUAUGCCUUUGUGCACCCACCCUUCCCCCUGCCGCCCGUGCGGCCCGUGUUCAACAACUUCCCACUCAACAUGGGACCCAUCCCAGCCCCGUAUGUGCCCCCGCUGCCCAAUGUGCGGGUCAACUAUGACUUUGGUCCUGUCCACAUGCCCCUGGAGCACAACCUGCCCAUGCACUUUGGCCCCCAGCCACGGCAUCGCUUCUAAUGGCCCGGAACCCCCACUGAGCAGGACAGAGCCCAUUUGGGGUGGGGGUGUGGGAUGGAGAACACUCCCCUCCCCCAAGGCUGGUGGCUGUGCCAUUGCUUCCUAAGUCAGGUUGAAGGGUAGGCUGGUUUUCUUCCCACCUCUUUCCUAGAAGGGCCAUUGCUCCUGAAACAGUGGCCACAGCUGCUGGCCCUCUGGGGGGCCUGCAUGGGAUUGGUUUGGCUCCCACUCGGCAGAGUCAAAAGGGCCUCAAAGCCCUUCUUUGAAGAGUUCUGCCAUCCUGGCAGGUAGCAUGGUGGCCCUGGCUGCUGUGUCACUCCAGUCCCUGCAGAAAGAAACCAAGAGGAAAUAUUUUGCCUCCAUUCACUUUUUCCCCUAGCAAACACCAGGGAAAAAAACCUCUCAGAAUUAAAACCACAUGAGCCUUCCUUAUAUAGCACAGACAGAUCCAUAAUAAAGAUGAAAAUGGUGGAGUUCAGAGA